AGAGAUGUGGCUCAAUGUUAGAGCACUUGCCUAGCAUGAAUGAGGCCCUGGGUUCCAUUCCUAGCACUUCAA
rnacentral:tRNA from 1 species